AGGGAUGAGCUCACGCCUGAUUAGCUUGUUGGUACGGUAAUGGCUUACCAAGGCCACGAUCAGUAGCUGGUUUGAGAGAACGAUCAGCCACACUGGGACUGAGACACGGCCCAGACUCCUCCGGGAGGCAGCAGUGAGGAAUUUUCCGCAAUGGGCGAAAGCCUGACGGAGCAAUACCGCGUGAGGGAUGAAGGAUUUUGGUCUGUAAACCUCUUUUCUCAAGAAAGAAGUUCUGACGGUACUUGAGGAAUAAGCAUCGGCUAACUCCGUGCCAGCAGCCGCGGUAAUACGGGGGAUGCAAGCGUUAUCCGGAAUCAUUGGGCGUAAAGCGCCUGUAGGUUGUUUAGUAAGUCUGUUGUUAAAGACCAGGGCUUAACCCUGGGAAAGCAAUGGAAACUACUAGACUUGAGUAUGGCAGGGGUAGAGGGAAUUUCUAGUGUAGCGGUGAAAUGCGUAGAUAUUAGAAAGAACACCAGUGGCGAAAGCGCUCUACUGGACCAUUACUGACACUCAGAGGCGAAAGCUAGGGUAGCAAAAGGGAUUAGAUACCCCUGUAGUCCUAGCCGUAAACGAUGGAUACUAGAUGUUGCGCAAUUUGUGCAGUAUCUUAGCUAACGCGUUAAGUAUCCCGCCUGGGGAGUACGCUCGCAAGGGUGAAACUCAAAGGAAUUGACGGGGGCCCGCACAAGCGGUGGAGCAUGUGGUUUAAUUCGAUGAUACGCGAGGAACCUUACCAGGGCUUAAAUGUAAGUUGCAUGAUUUAGAGAUAGAUCUUUCUUCGGACUACUUACAAGGUGCUGCAUGGUUGUCGUCAGCUCGUGCCGUGAGGUGUCAGGUUAAGUCCUAUAACGAGCGCAACCCCUGUUGUUAGUUGCCAGCGAGUCAUGUCGGGAACUCUAGCAAGACUGCCAGUGCAAACUGUGAGGAAGGUGGGGAUGACGUCAAAUCAUCACGGCCCUUACGUCCUGGGCUACACACGUGCUACAAUGGUAGGUACAGAGAGCAGCCACUGCGCGAGCAGGAGCGAAUCUAUAAAACCUAUCACAGUUCGGAUCGGAGUCUGCAACUCGACUCCGUGAAGCUGGAAUCGCUAGUAAUCGGAUAUCAGCCAUGAUCCGGUGAAUACGUUCCCGGGCCUUGUACACACCGCCCGUCAAGCCAUGGAAGUUGGAAGUGCCUGAAGUCCGUCACCGUAAGGAGCGGCCUAGGGUAAAGUCGAUAACUAGGGCUAAGUCGUAACAAGGUAGCCGUACCGGAAGGUGCGGCUG
rnacentral:rRNA from 1 species